AUAAACGAUAAGGAUAUCUUUGAUACAUUCUUUCAAUAGGAUACGAAAAUGAGAUAUGGGACUGCAUUUAGAAGAUGUAAGAAGUUGUUGGAUACCAUUGUGAGCUGAUGCCUGCCAUAGUUAUCUUAAAAGUGGUGGUAUGACAUAGGGAUAACCUAGAGACUCUUUUGUGUGGAAACAUGCAUCAAGGAAUUGAUAAUAGGUAAAAAGGCUGGGAAAAAGGAUAGAAAAAUAGACAAAGUUGAUUGCCUUUCCAUGAUAAGAAUUUAAUCUGACAUAAGUUGGCUGGAUAAUCUUUCAUAUCAUUUGAUUUAAAAUAUCUAAAAUAUUGAUAUAGAAUCACAAUCCACUUUAAGGCGUUUCUUAAACGCUUCUUCUUUACAUUUGUGCAAUUCUGAUGUCUACUGUAGGUAUUCUGGCAAUUAAAAUGUAUUACCA
rnacentral:lncRNA from 1 species